rfam:Serendipita vermifera MAFF 305830 unplaced genomic scaffold scaffold_14, whole genome shotgun sequence.
GGCACAGUGGUCGAGUGGUCUAAGACGCCAGAUUUAAGAUUAUUGCAGGUUUUAUCGCGCGCCCGUGUGUGCGAUUUGGCUAGCGAUGACAUCCUUAAAAUUCCUGGUCUCGAAAGAGGCGUGGGUUCGAACCCCACCUGUGUCA